UACGAAGGGGGCUAGCGUUGCUCGGAAUGACUGGGCGUAAAGGGCGCGUAGGCGGUUCGUACAGUCAGACGUGAAAUUCCCGGGCUCAACCUGGGGGCUGCGUUUGAUACGUGCGGGCUUGAGUUCGGAAGAGGGUCGUGGAAUUCCCAGUGUAGAGGUGAAAUGCGUAGAUAUCGGGAGGAACACCAGUGGCGAAGGCGACUACCUGGCCUGUUCUUGACGCUGAGGCGCGAAAGCUAGGGGAGCAAACGGG
rnacentral:rRNA from 1 species